rnacentral:lncRNA from 1 species
UUAUUUUAGGCAGUUUGCUUUAUAAAGCAAGUGGUUUUACUUAUAAUAACAAUUAUUCCCCAAUGCGAUAAAAAUGAAUAUUUUGAACAGAAUCAAAUUAUUAUAUUAGGAUUAAACAUCAAUAUGAACAAAAUGGACUAUACGAGUACAAGGCAUUUCUUCAAACUCAGGAGACUUUUAGUGAUCUUUUAGUAUUGUUGAAAUACCAAAGGAUGCGCCCAAUAAGACAUUUUAUGAGCGUAAAAUGCAAAAGCAAUAUAUUUUCUGCGUCUAAAGGAUGAAACAAUGUUAUCAAACAAACAAACAGACCGUCAUAACUCUUAAUACGUUAUAUUAACAAUCUACAGACAACCACAAUAUUAUUUUACAUGAAGGUCAGAAGAACUAAAACGCGGUCAUCAGCCGAAAGAGAUUGUAAAAGAAUCUAUGAUUUAGUCAAUCGAAAUCUUUCGACUGAGCUGACACAUAUAUAGAAAAGUUAAGUUUGUUUUGGAAUAAAUAAGUACCUAAGUACCAUUCCCCAUUGGAUUCUAGAGUUCACUGAAAGGCAAGAUUUUUUUAUCACGGAAAUAUGGCACCAGAGACAAGAUUUAAGAAAAAGAGUCAAAGAAACCUACGUAAGAGAAUUAUGAGAUAUGCACUCAAACGGUUUUCAAAGUUUUUUCCAGAAAGUAAUUAUUCUAUUCCGCCAGUUUUAUUAUCCUGAAAAUAAAGUUAUUCAUAAACCUCAAUCAUAUACUCGAUGCUAUGUAAUACAAAAGCUAUAUAUACUCUAUAAUAAACAUUAUUA